AAAUGCGAUAAUUAAUGUGAAUUGCAGAAUUCAGUGAAUCAUCGAGUCUUUGAACGCACAUUGCGCCCCCUGGUAUUCCGGGGGGCAUGUCUGUCCGAGCGUCAUUGCUGCCCUCAAGCACGGCUUGUGUGUUGGGCUUCCGUCCCUGGCAACGGGGACGGGCCCAAAAGGCAGUGGCGGCACCAUGUCUGGUCCUCGAGCAUAUGGGGCUUUGUCACCCGCUCCCGUAGGUCCAGCUGGCAGCUAGCCUCGCAACCAAUCUUUUUAACCAGGUUGACCUCGGAUCAGGUAGGGAUACCCGCUGAACUUAAGC
rnacentral:misc_RNA from 1 species